CGGGGUGUGGCUCAGUUUGGCUAGAGUACCUGAUUUGGGAUCAGGGGGUCGCAGGUUCGAAUCCUGUCACCCCGA
rfam:Clostridium sp. CAG:253 genomic scaffold, scf129